GUUUCUAUGUAUCUGCAUGUGUAUACCUGGCUGUGUAUCUGUAUGUGCCAGUGUGUUCAACUGUGUAUCUAUGUAUCUGCAUGUGUGCCAGUGUGUAUAUUUGAGUAUCUGUGUAGAUGUGCAUACAUCUCAGCAUUUCGCCAACACUACACACAAAUACACCCUUGCAUCCAAAUGCUCCAGGUGCACUAAGUGCAAAAGGGACAGUGCAUCCAAACCACGUCAAUGAGCUCAACUGGUCUGUGUGCAUAUAGUG